AAAGAGCGCAGUGGUGGCGGUGGCGGCGGCACCACACAAAACCCUCGGGAAACAUCCAGAACGUGCCGCGAACCAGCCGGCAGGGUGGGGCGCAGCCCGGCUGCAAACAUGCCAGCAAGGAGGCAGUCCCAACCCCGCAGGUGGACAGGUGGAGAAUGUUGUACCAUCUUUGGGUAGGCAGACUUCCCUGACGACAUCAGUGAUACCCAAAGCUGAGCAGAGCGUGGCUUACAAAGACUUUAUUUAUUUUACUGUCUUUGAAGGAAACGUUCGCAACGUUUCUGAAGUCUCGGUUGAGUAUUUAUGCUCUCAGCCUUGUGUUGUCAAUUUGGAAGCAGUUGUUUCAUCUGAGUUCAGAAGUAGCAUUCCCGUGUACAAAAAAAGGUGGAAGAAUGAGAAACAUCUUCACACCAGCAGGACACAAAUAGUACAUGUGAAAUUUCCAAGCAUUAUGGUUUACAGAGAUGAUUAUUUCAUCAGACAUUCCAUCUCUGUAUCUGCAGUGAUAGUACGCGCCUGGAUUACUCACAAAUACAGUGGCAGAGACUGGAAUGUUAA
rnacentral:lncRNA from 1 species